AUAGAAACCUUUUAUUGUAGAAAUGGCACUCUGGAAACCAUUAACUUAGGACCCUGUCCUUCCUAUAGAUGAAGUGUUUGUCUUUCCUGUGGUCCAGGAGGGAGGAAGCAAGAGAGGGUUAUUCCCAACUGUUGAUGCUUACAAAAGUCAACCACAUGCAUGAGGCAGAAUCAAGUGACUGGGGCUACAGAUAGGCAUGAAAAAGGACCUAGUAGGGACAGUUAGGCCUGUUUUCAUGAAAGAGAUCCUAUGGAAGAUAUGGUUAGAUCUGACUUGAUUCAAGUGGUUGACCUCCCUCUUUGAGGCAAGGUUGGCCUUGAGCACCUUGGUCUGGGACCCAAACUCUUCAUGUGUGCCUCAAAGUCUUGAACUAAGUUAGCUGAUCCCAGCUUCCCUGGUUGUGCUUGGGUUCUGUCCUGGGUUUCACAGUCUCUUCUGGAUUCUCAGUCAUUGAGCAACUUCUCUUGCCAUAAACCACAGGGAGAAUCAGCACUGAGGGUCAGAAACUGGAAGAAAAAAAAAAAAAAAAAAAAACGAAACACAGAUUGGUUUGAGUUAAGUGUGACCUUCUUCAGCAGAGGAAUGGGAAGUUCGGUGGCCAGGAUGGUACUGCCAACCCUCUGGAGCCGACCGUGAGAUUCCGAUGGUUUGGUAGUGUAAGAAUUAGCUUUGUGCUCUUGGGAACACAAGGAGUACUGACUUGUGGCUUUCCAGGAACAUGCCACAAAUAGAAGAUUCUAGAAGGUCACAGAAGGUCUUCAUUUCGGGUCUUAAAAAGAAUGAUGCUUUCGUUUGUUGGUGAAUAGGGCUGUUAGCCUGAGUCUGAGAAUUCUGUGGGUUUGAAAAGACUGCCCCGAAGGGGGAAAGGGAUGGGUCGGCAAAGGGCAAAGGUCCCUUUCAGGCAGCAAGGAAAGCUGAGGCUGUCAGCUGAGUGACUAGAUCUGACUUGCUAGGACCGAGUAAGUGUGAAUGGACAAUCCUGCCUUCUCAUCCCCACUGAGGACUCUGCUCUUCUCUGGUUUGGGACAGCAGAUGCAGGCGGAGACAAGUCACGUCAUUACGUUUACCAUUACCAGCCCAGAACCCCGGUCCAGGGAUCAGCGGCCAUACAUUCUUCUUGCGGUCCAAGUUCUCCCAAAUAAAUCCUGCUUUUGGAACCGCAUGUGGACAUACAUUCAGAAUGUUACCUCCUAGGGAACUGUGCCUUUGGACCCCUCAGGUAAGAUACCGGUAACCCCACUUUGGCUAGACUGGGUUUCAUGCAAUGGUGCACAAGCCCAGAGAUGAUAACAAGAAAAAUCUAAAGAGUUUGCAAGAGGCCUCCCUUCCUUCUAUACUUAACAACCAACAAAUGUUUACCGGUGAGUUAGGUGUGGUACCACAUAGUCUAGCAACUAGGUCGGUAAACACGAGACUUCAGAAGAUUCUGUAUGUUUGCCAGAUGCAUGUCAUUGCCUAGUGAGACAGGGGAAUGGGUGACUUCAAAUCCAAGACCAGUAAACCUACAGCUAAUGUUAGGAGAGUCUUCUGUUCUCAGAAUCUAGCCCGACUUUCACUUGCCCACUGCAGUUUAACUUAGACAACUCUUUGCGUAGGACACUCGCGUGGCUGACCAUAAUCUGAUGGCCAGAUCGGUGAGGGUGGGGGAGUGCUUGCCCCAUUCCCAGAAUUCAUCACUACCUUGCGUGAUGGGAAGGAAAAGUCACUGUGGACCUACAGUCUUUGGAGAAGGUGAGUCAGAUUGCACUUGGCAGCUGCAGGGCCACAGACUCCUGCUAUCUCAACGAUGGUCUACAGCCCAGAACAGUAGCAUUUCUGGUACACCCUGGAGCCACCCUGUCCUUGGAAUCCUUAAUAAGCAUGUGGUGAUCAGUUCUGUCUUCAUUUCAGAGUUGCCGAUGGUUGGGAGAUUUAAGAUACCCAACACCCUGAGACAUGCCCUGGACCGACUAUAAACCAGAAUCCCUAACCAAACAGACGCACAGUUGUGCACAAUUACUGGGUGCAGUAUGAUAUCUUGGGACACAUACGCAGCAUGUGUUGGUGUUCUGGGUUGACUUUGAGCACCCUCAUUGAUCCCUAGUUGAUAGUGUGGACUUAGGAGGUGUGGUCAAGCUAAAGGAAGUAGGCCCCAAAGAGACGAGCUUUUAAAGUUAUACCUGGUCUCCAGCCCCUUCCCCACUCCUGAUCUUGUCUGCCUGAGGCAAGACGUGGCCUCUGUCACAUGCUCCAGUCAGUCACUGCCACAGGCUACGUUUUGCCUUUUCCUGAGCUCAGAAUCACCAAUCAAGGCUUCUGAGCUGAGACCCCUAAAAACAGGAGCCCAAAUGCAUCCUCCCUCCCUUGGGGCUUAUACCGGGUCAUUCCAUCACAAGAGUGAAAAUCUGAUUAGCCCAGCUGGUAGGUAACACUAAAGGAAAUCUCCGUCCUAGAACAAUAGAAGUCACCUCUCCCGCCCGACUCUCUCUCCGGACCUAUUAGCCUUCCUCUCUCAGACCUUUCUCCUCAUGGUCCUCCCAGCUUCUGAUAGCUAUGGUCUACUCUCUAUCCCAUGAGAUCCAUAUUUUAGCUUCGAUGCAUGGCUGAGAGCAUGCGGGCAUUCGUCCGUCUGUAGGCAACGUCUUCCGGUUUGGACGCUCUCGGGUGAUUCCAGGGCAUAGCUGGGCUGCGAACCAGACACGCCUAGGCAGCCACGCCCCCACAUAUCUGAGGUAUCUCGGUGCCCCUGAGCACCAGGUGCCCUCUAGCCCUUUCCCACCCACCGCAAGACUCCCCCCGCCCCCCGCAACGUGGCCUUUGCUCUCCCCGCCCCUAGAUUUCCCUCAAACAUUCCCUCACCUUCCAACCCAGCUGAGUGACUCACUCCUGCCUCCCUUUCCCGCAACCCACCCUUGGUCCUUCCUCCAUCUUCCCCAUCUUGACCAAACUUGCUCGCUUUGCAACGGCCCCCACGGGACUUCUUCGGAGCAUGCCGCGGAGCUUUUUCCCUCACGUGACCCUUAUGGUUCUUUUUUUUUUUUUUUUUUUUUUUUUUUCGUGACCCUUAUGUACUCUCCUUUCUUUCCCUGCACGCCUCCUUCUCACUAGACCGGGAGCCACGAGGGCAGAGUGAAGCCCCGCUGACUUUGCUGAUCCCGAAGCCCCCACGCUUGACGGGGCACCCAGCAGCUGUGACCGCUCCCCACCCCUCGCUCGUCCUGUGCCUCAUCCAGGUGGAGGGCAGACUUAACAUGGCUGGCAAGUCCGGAAAAGGCAGGCAGGGCCUGACAGACCUUGACACUUUGCAGAGGAGGUGACAGCCACCAGGGAGUGGCCUGCUAGCCUCACAGCUAACUGGUCUCAUUAAAGCUGUUAGGGUAGAGAGUGCUUUCUAGGGCUCCAGGCCUUGAAUUCAACUCACAGCCUUAAUGGGGGUGGGAAGGGCAGCUCUUUACAAAUCACUAUUCUAAAAGGAGUAGGCAAGCCUGACGUUAGGCAAACUGCUCUCCUUCCUGACAGAAGUUCCUGUCGUGUACAUAUCAGUUAACACAGAACUGGGGCUCUCCCUUCUAGAUAAUAACUUACCCUUUAGCAGAGCAAGAGGGGGUCUCCCCCCCAACACACAACUGGCAGAAACUGACCACCAGACCUCAAAGGAAACAUCGCCCAAACUCCAGGCGCUGCCCGAACCUCUCUCUGGCAGCUUUUUUUUUUUUUUUUUUUUCUGGCUUCGAGACAAACUCAUGAUAAAAGUCCUUUUAAUACAGAGGCUCGCAUCUGGCCUGAGAGUCUGCCUCUGUUUUCCUCCACAUUAUGGAAACCCUCUCACAGACCACCCUUACAGAAAGCCAGGCAGCAGCACACAGAUAUUUAAUGUCAGAAGCAGCCACAGAGAGGGGACCUCACCCAACCCUCACUGGCAUCUGUGUCCCUUCAAUAGGUAACACCGCCAUGCCAGGUCACGCUGCGGACAGGCUCGGCAUACGGAUCCACACCAAUCGCGCUCAAGACAGUUCUUGAAGAUCGGAUUUGGGACCUGCGAGCUGUAGAAGCUGCCAGUGAGCUGGGCGGAUCCCAUUCCAUUCAAACCUAAAUCUCCCACUGAGACUUCAGCCCAAAGUAGGGCCUUCUGAGCCCAACGGGGAAACCUGUUUGCACAUGCCCACACAUUCCAGACACCAGGCCAUGGUGACGUGUCUGCAUUAAGAACUUCCCUCGCUCAAAAAUGAGCCUCUGAGAAAGUUAACAGAGAGCUCAGACGUCGAUGAGGGAGGCUAAGGAGAUGGUUCAGCCUGGGUGGUGCUCGGCGUGCAAGCCUGAGAAUCUGAGUUCAAAUCCCCAGCACGCAGGCCGGCAGCCAUGAGGGUGGCUGUGUUUCUGAAGAAAACAUAGCAGGGUUAGGAAACCGAAGAGAAAGGAAUGAUGGAGACUUUGUGAGCUGGGAAGGACAUCAGAGCAGAGCGCAGCUUCACCGACCUGACCAGCACUGGACCCUAUAACAGUACUGGGAGCUCUGUGUGUGAAAACAAGUUUUCCUCCCUCCUCAUUUCCCUUCCCUCAGUCCUCUCUUCUCUCUCCUUCUCCCCUCCUCUCCCCUCCCAUGUCCUCCCCUGUCCUCUCCUCCUCUCUGGCUGGGUAUGGGACUCUUUGUCACACAUGCAGAGCUCCAUCUCCACCCUGGGACUCUUAGCAGCCAAAUCACAAAAUAAAAAAAGAAAUGGUGACAUUUAGUUCAAAC